UACGUAGGCAGCGAGCGUUGUUCGGAGUUACUGGGCGUAAAGAGUGCGUAGGCGGUUUUCUAAGUUUGGUGUGAAAUCUCCCGGCUUAACUGGGGGGGUGCGCCGAAGACUGGAAGGCUUGAGUAUGGGAGAGGUAAGCGGAAUUCCUGGUGUAGCGGUGAAAUGCGUAGAUAUCAGGAGGAACACCUGCGGUGUAGACGGCUUACUGGACCAUAACUGACGCUGAGGCACGAAAGCGUGGGUAGCAAACAGG
rnacentral:rRNA from 1 species